rnacentral:rRNA from 1 species
UACGUAGGGCGCAAGCGUUGUCCGGAAUUAUUUGGGCGUAAAGGGCGCGUAGGCGGCCAAGCAAGUCCUGGGUGAAAUCCCUCGGCUCAACCGAGGAACUGCCUCGGAAACUGCAUGGCUUGAGGCCGGGAGAGGGUAGCGGAAUUCCCAGUGUAGCGGUGAAAUGCGUAGAUAUUGGGAGGAACACCGGUGGCGAAGGCGGCUACCUGGACCGGUUCUGACGCUGAUGCGCGAAAGCGUGGGGAGCAAACAGG